ACAGACACUUCUGAGGAAGAUGGCUCUCAUACUCCAGGGCUGUUUUCCAAUUACUGCACAGCCUUUCUUCAUGGCCAGGUUUAGGGGUGGACGCUGCGGAGGAGAGUUCUGCUUUUCUCUCUCUGUGUCCGUGUAAGGCCUUCACCCGUAGGACGCCUGGGUCGAUGCAGGAGGACGACGCUUUGAUGCAGAUGUUGUAUCAUGCGACGGGUAGUAUGGUGUCUGGUGUGUGUACGUGUGUGUGUGGGGAUGUGUGUGUCCGUUUGUCCGCAUGUGUGUCCUUGUACGUUGUAAACGUCUGCAUAUUUCCAUAUCUCCAUAUCGCAGCUUGUGUGCCAACUUAUCUUUUUGACAAUGACAAACUCCUAUCUGCUAACUCGCAGCCAUAAAUCCUGAUUUCAGAUAUCCUCCAUUGUUCCACUGACAUAGGAAGUAGGGCUGCUCGACAUACAGUACAUCCACCUUAACAUUAUACUCCCUCUCUCUUUUUCUCUUUCUCUCUCUCUCGCCCUCUCUCUCCACGCUAGAAACAGAUGGCUGGGGACGAUCUUCCAAUGUGGUAGAAAACCAACUAAUUGCUUUGAGUUGCCACAGUCGCUGCUGCUGUGAAAGACGUGAGGGCGGAAGAGUGGGAGAGGAGGACCUACUGGAUCUGCAGCCAUCACGCCUUCCCUAGCUUGAAACAGUGGUUCAUAGAAUAAGUUUGGAAAAAUGUGAAAUGCUAGCACAUAACCUCUCCAUGUACUGUAGAUUGCCCUAUG